UACGUAGGGCGCAAGCGUUAUCCGGAAUUAUUGGGCGUAAAGAGCUCGUAGGCGGUUUGUCGCGUCGGGAGUGAAAAUCCAGGGCUUAACUCUGGACUGGCUUCCGAUACGGGCAGACUAGAGGUAUGCAGGGGAGAACGGAAUUCCUGGUGUAGCGGUGAAAUGCGCAGAUAUCAGGAGGAACACCUAUGGCGAAGGCAGCUCUCUGGGACGGUACUGACGCUGAGACGCGAAAGCGUGGGGAGCGAACAGG
rnacentral:rRNA from 1 species